AGGAAUAUAGUUUAAAUAAAACUUAUGAUUUGCAUUCAUAAAACAUUGAAAUAUCAAUUUUUCUU
rnacentral:tRNA from 1 species